rnacentral:lncRNA from 1 species
GGGACGGCGAGGCAGGCGCUCAGAGCCCCGCAGCCUGGCCCGUGACCCCGCAGAGACGCUGAGGACCGCGACGAGUCGUGUCUGAACCCGGCUUUUCCAAUUGGCCUGCUCCAUCCGAACAGCGUCAACUCCAUGGCGCGGUUCCUGACACUUUGCACUUGGCUGCUGUUGCUCGGCCCCGGGCUCCUGGCGACCGUGCGGGCCGAAUGCAGCCAGGAUUGCGCGACGUGCAGCUACCGCCUAGUGCGCCCGGCCGACAUCAACUUCCUGGAUUGUGGGGGAGGAGAAGAGGAAGGCUGCUCUUUCCAGAAUUUUCCAUACUGCUUUUUAUGCUCUUGUUGUUAUCACUUAUUACUAUUAUCAUUACUUUAAUCCAGGUGAUGGAAUGGCACGUGUAGUGUUAGCAACUUGAAAAAAAUAGAUAAUAAGCAACCAUCAAUAAAAAUAGUCUUAUAGAAAGGCAUUUUGCAUAAUAACUGAUUUGCAUUGGACCCUACAUUUAGGGUUGUUAUUGUCUCAAUGACAAAAGGUUUACUUAGUGACUGUCUCGCUAGAAUUACAACAUUCUGGGAUUUUGGCUCGGAUGCAAAAGACAUGUGAGAAACGAGGUUGCCUAGCCAAAAUUAUGUAGUGAAAUCAAUGUAACAAAUAUUUACUGAGCUUCUACCAUGAGAAAGACACUUAUGAUUGGUACUGUGGUGGAUGCAGAGAUGAGCAGGCGUGCUAUGGCUGAUGUCCAGAUAGAAUUUCCCAUCUAAUGUGAUCUUGACCA